UACGGAGGAUGCAAGCGUUAUCCGGAUUCAUUGGGUUUAAAGGGUACGUAGGCGGCCUGUUAAGCCAGUGGUGAAAGUUUGCGGCUUAACCGUAAAUUGCCAUUGAUACUGAUGGGCUUGAGUACAGUUGAGGUAGGCGGAAUGUGUAGUGUAGCGGUGAAAUGCUUAGAUAUUACACAGAACUCCGAUUGCGAAGGCAGCUUACUAAACUGUCACUGACGCUGAGGUACGAAAGCGUGGGGAGCGAACAGG
rnacentral:rRNA from 1 species